AGUUGGUGGGGUAAUGGCUCACCAAGCCUGAGAUCGGUAGCCGACCUGAGAGGGUGAUCGGCCACACUGGAACUGAGAGACGGUCCAGACUCUUACGGGAGGCAGCAGUGGGGAAUAUUGGGCAAUGGGGGAAACCCUGACCCAGCAACGCCGCGUGAGGGAAGAAGGUUUUCGGAUUGUAAACCUCUGUUCUUGGAGAAGAGUGGAAGACGGUAUCCAAGGAGGAAGCCCCGGCUAACUACGUGCCAGCAGCCGCGGUAAUACGUAGGGGGCGAGCGUUGUCCGGAAUAAUUGGGCGUAAAGGGCGCGUAGGCGGCCUUACAAGUCAGUAGUGGAAGUCCCAUUUUCAAGGUGGGGAGGGCUAUUGAAACUGUAGGGCUUGAGUGCAGGAGAGGUUAUCGGAAUUCCCGGUGUAGCGGUGAAAUGCGUAGAGAUCGGGAGGAACACCAGUGGCGAAGGCGGGUAACUGGACUGCAACUGACGCUGAGGCGCGAAAGUGUGGGGAGCAAACAGGAUUAGAUACCCUGGUAGUCCACACUGUAAACGAUGAAUGCUAGGUGUAGGGGGUAUCGACCCCUUCUGUGCCGCAGUAAA
rnacentral:rRNA from 1 species